rnacentral:rRNA from 1 species
CAUGCAAGUCGAACGGCAGCACGGACUUCGGUCUGGUGGCGAGUGGCGAACGGGUGAGUAACGUAUCGGAACGUAUCCAAUAAUGGGGGAUAACUAAUCGAAAGGUUGGCUAAUACCGCAUACGCCCUACGGGGGAAAGCUAGGGACCUUCGGGCCUGGCGUUAAUGGAGCGGCCGAUAUCUGAUUAGCUAGUUGGUGGGGUAAAGGCCCACCAAGGCGACGAUCAGUAGCUGGUCUGAGAGGACGACCAGCCACACUGGAACUGAGACACGGUCCAGACUCCUACGGGAGGCAGCAGUGGGGAAUUUUGGACAAUGGGCGCAAGCCUGAUCCAGCCAUUCCGCGUGAGUGAAGAAGGCCUUCGGGUUGUAAAGCUCUUUCGCAAGGGAAGAAAACUUAGGCUCUAACAUAGCCUGAGGUUGACGGUACCUUGAUAAGAAGCACCGGCUAACUACGUGCCAGCAGCCGCGGUAAUACGUAGGGUGCGAGCGUUAAUCGGAAUUACUGGGCGUAAAGCGUGCGCAGGCGGUUUUGUAAGUCAGAUGUGAAAUCCCCGAGCUCAACUUGGGAACUGCGUUUGAAACUACAAGACUAGAAUAUGUCAGAGGGGGGUAGAAUUCCACGUGUAGCAGUGAAAUGCGUAGAGAUGUGGAGGAAUACCAAUGGCGAAGGCAGCCCCCUGGGAUAAUAUUGACGCUCAUGCACGAAAGCGUGGGGAGCAAACAGGAUUAGAUACCCUGGUAGUCCACGCCCUAAACGAUGUCUACUAGUUGUUGGUGGAGUAAAAUCCAUGAGUAACGCAGCUAACGCGUGAAGUAGACCGCCUGGGGAGUACGAUCGCAAGAUUAAAACUCAAAUGAAUUGACGGGGGCCC